rnacentral:rRNA from 1 species
AAGAAAGUAAUUAAGAGCGUAUGGGGGAUGCCUAGGCUCUUGGAGGCGAAGAAAGACGUGGUAAGCUGCGAAAAGCUCCGGGGAUUUGCAAACGAGACUUGAUCCGGAGAUCUCUGAAUGGGACAACCCGUCAGGUAGAAGACCUGACACACCGCAAGGUGGGCCAACCCUCUGAACUGAAACAUCUAAGUAGGAGGAGGAAAAGAAAGAAACAUCGAUUUCCAAAGUAGCGGCGAGCGAAAUGGAAAGAGCCUAAACCGUAGUUGUUACGGCAAUUACGGGGUUGUAGGACUGCGAUAUAUGAUUAACUGAAAACCGGAAGUGUCUGGAAAGUCACACCGCAGAGAGUGAAAGUCUCGUACGGGUAAUCGAGUUAAGAGUUAGCAGUAUCCUGAGUAGGGCGGGACACGAGGAAUCCUGUCUGAAUCCGCCGGGACCACCCGGUAAGGCUAAAUACUCCCAAGAGACCGAUAGUGAACCAGUACUGUGAAGGAAAGGUGAAAAGUACCCCGAACAGGGGAGUGAAAAAGAACCUGAAACCAUACGCUUACAACCUGUCGGAGCCACUUAGUGUGGUGACGGCGUGCCUAUUGAAUAAUGAGCCUACGAGUUACUAAUCACUAGCGAGGUUAAGUGCGGGAAAGCACGGAGCCGAAGCGAAAGCGAGUCUGAACAGGGCGGUUAGUUAGUGGUUGUAGACGCGAAACCUUGCGAUCUACCCUUGAGCAGGAUGAAGGUUGGGUAACACCAACUGGAGGUCCGAACGAAUAAGCGUUGAAAAGCUUCUCGAUGACUUGAGGGUAGGGGUGAAAGGCUAAUCAAGCUGGGAAAUAGCUCGUACUCCCCGAAAUGCCUUUAGGGGCAGCGUUGUAAUUUAGAGUCUACCGGAGGUAGAGCUACUGAUUGGAUGCGGGGGCUUCACCGCCUACCAAAUCCUGACAAACUCCGAAUGCCGGUAGUAUGAUUUACAGCAGUGAGCCAGUGGGUGCUAAUGUCCAUUGACAAAAGAGGAACAACUCAGACCAGCAACUAAGGUCCCGAAGCAUAUGCUAAGUUAAACUAACGAUGUUUUGUUGCAGAGACAGCUAGGAUGUUAGCUUGGAAGCAGCUAUUCAUUCAAAGAGUGCGUAACAGCUCACUAGUCGAGCGACAGAGCGUGGAUAAUAAACGGGUAUCAAGCAUAUCACCGAAGUUCUGGACACGAAAGUGUGGUAGGGGAGCAUUCCAUUCUGCGUCGAAGUCGGACCGUGAGGUUCGGUGGAGCGUAUGGAAAAGCAAAUGUAGGCAUAAGUAACGAUAAUGCGGGAGAGUAACCCGCACACCGCAAGACCAAGGUUUCCUGAUCAACGCUAAUCGGAUCAGGGUUAGUCGGGUCCUAAGGUUAAGCCGAAUGGCGAUAUCGAUGGAUAAUCGGUUAAUAUUCCGAUACUGACAUGCACCUCGAUGGAGGGACGAAGGAGCGUAAGUGACGCGGACUGACGGAAUAGUUCGUUAAAGGAUGUAGGUAUAUGACGGGAUUAAUAGUUCUGUUGUGCUGAAAUCCGACAGUACGGAGAGUCUACGGACAAUCCGAUAGUUCACCCAAGCCGACUUCCGAGAAAAUCUUCUAAGUUAUAGUGUAUGUCACCCGUACCGUAAACCGACACAGGUGGUCGAGGAGAGUAUCCUCAGGUGCUCGAGUGAAUCACGGUUAAGGAACUAGGCAAAUUAACCCCGUAACUUCGGGAAAAGGGGUCCCAUAGCGAUAUGGGCGCAGCGAAGAGGUCCAGGCGACUGUUUAUCAAAAACACAGGGCUCUGCAAAUUCGAAAGAAGAAGUAUAGGGCCUGACACCUGCCCGGUGCUGGAAGGUUAAGAGGGGAUGUCAUCGCAAGAGAAGCAUUGAAUCGAAGCCCCAGUAAACGGCGGCCGUAACUAUAACGGUCCUAAGGUAGCGAAAUUCCUUGUCGGGUAAGUUCCGACCUGCACGAAUGG